AUCCACCCUUACCUGUGACUGACAGGCACUCCUCGUCGCCUCCUAUUGGCCCGGAGACGAGGGAAGACGUUUCACGAUUGGGCACUGUUAACUACGUCAUGCUGCUUUCAACCGGGUGGGAAAAAGUUAAAGAAAUGUUAUCGACGUUUUUUUUUUUUUUUUUUUUUACAGGAGGCCGAACUGACAUGCAGGUUGCAACCACACAAACUAUUUCAACUGAAAGUUUUUCCAAAACAGGGGAGCAGACUGUUUCUCUACAUGGCUUGUAACUUAAUUGUUGAUUUAUGAUUAAUUUGGUUAAAGGGCAGAAUGGUCUGUGUUGUUAAUGUUCAAAGUUGAUGCAGUCAGAAAAAGAAAGUUCCGUGCGUAAAAGUCUGAGAUGCAAGAAAACCGAUUUUAGCAGCAACACAAGCCGAAAAUAAAAUAGGAAAGUCGUGUCUCCCAUUUUCCGUGCAUCACUUGAAUGCAGCAUCAGGACAAUAAAUUCGUAGGAUAUGACAUAUAUUUUUUAACUUAACCCUUCAUCAUCCAAACAGGUCUGCUGGGAGUCCGGCGCGUAACGCGUAAUGUGAUGGUUUUUCUUUGGUAACAUUUUGGACUGAACAACGUGUGUCAGAUUGUUACCGAUUUACUAUAUCUACAUUUCAUUUAAUCUUUUAAGUCAUCGAAGUGCUCACUUUUGUCACUUCCUUGGCAGCCUGCAUCAUGGAUCGCCAUGACCAGUCAACAUAAAGCUGAACUGGUUUGCUGUUCCUGGACAGGACGUCUCCCUCUGCUGGUGACAACCUGCUGUUAUGGAAAGAUGAGAUGAUCACUACAUAAUAGCCAUGCCGGGAAAAGAUGCUGAAGUGAUGCCGGUGCAGUGUGUCCUGCCAGAAUCCACAUAACCUGCACCACCCAUUAUGAAGAGUCCCAAACUGGACUGUAAUUUUGAGGUACUUGUUCUUUACUUGAGUAAUUCCAUUUUAUGCUACUUUAUACUUCUACUCCACUACAUCUUGGAAGCAAAUAUUGUACUUUUUACUCCACUACAUUUAUCUGACAGCUUUAGUUUCUUUGCCGAUUCAGAUUAUUAAUAAGAAAUAUAAUCAACUAAUAAAUGAUGAUACAUUAUAGAUUAAGAUACACAGCAGUAUUUAAAAUAAUUCUAAUUAGCUCCACCUUUACCAUCUGCAACAUUAAAGUGAUGUACACAUUAAUGCAUCAAAUAUUAUAAUCCAGUAAUAAAAUAGCCUAUAUAUGAUUCUGAAAAGGGCCAUUCUACAUAAUGAGUACUUUUACUUUUGGUACUUUGAGUAUAUUUUGAUACUAAUACUUGUGUACUUUUACAUACGUAAAUAUCUGAGUACUUACUAUCUCCAUCAAUACUAAGUUUACAACAUGUAUCUUUUCAAAAUAGCUUUUACUAAAUACAAUAUUCACUCUAUUAGUGCAUAUAAUACAGUGUAAAUACAGUUUUUCACCUGCACCAUGAAUCAGUGGGUAAAAUGUUGAAUCUCCAUUUUUCAAAACAAAUGCUGAACUCUUUUCAACCUUUUUUCAUAUUUUUUUUAAAACACAGCAUCUCUUAAUGUGUAUGGAUAAUCCUAAUGUCAAUCUGCAGCUUUGAUGGACUGACAUAACAUUGUUCCUGCUAAAGAAUGCUGUGGAAAGCUGGUUGUCAUAUGUAGGGCUGCAACUAAUGAUUAUUUUCCAUUAUCAAUUAUGUUCUCAAUGUUGUAAAAAAAAGGGGAAAAUAAGGCAAUCCCAGGAGCAAAUUCUCAAGCAAUUACAGUACAAACAGCCAAUAUUUGGCAUUGUUGGUUAAAAAAAAAAAAAAAAAAAAAAAAAAGUAUUGUGAAAUGAAUAAUCGAUUCUGAUAAUGGUUAUGGUUAUAUGGUUAUUCAUUUUCUGUAUAUCCCUUAAUGACUAAUGGUUUUAGCUCAAGUAGUAUGGUAUGAUUUGUAUUUAUGGUGAUUUAUAUUUCUUCUGUACAUUGUUUUUAUCCAUUUUGAAUAAAUAUUUCAUUUUGUAAAAACUA